CAGGCCUAACACAUGCAAGUCGAGCGAGAAAAUUCCUUCGGGAAUGAUUAAAGCGGCGGACGGGUGCGUACAACAUGGAUAACCUACCAUAAGGACCGGGAUAACCUCGGGAAACCGAAGCUAAUACCGGAUAAGACCACAUUAUCUGCGGAUAAAGGGGUAAAAUGUUUUUCGCCUUUUGAUGGGUCCAUGCUCCAUCAGGUUGUUGGUGAGGUAAAAGCUCACCAAGCCGAAGACGGAUAGCCGGCCUUAGCGGGUGAUCGGCCACACGGGGACUGAGACACGGCCCCGACUCCUACGGGAGGCAGCAGUGGGGAAUAUUGGGCAAUGGGCGAAAGCCUGACCCAGCCAUGCCGCGUGAAGGAUGAAGGCCUUCGGGUCGUAAACUUCUGUCAGUAGGGACGAUGGGACUUCGGUCUUGACGGUACCUACAGAGGAAGCCCCGGCUAACUCCGUGCCAGCAGCCGCGGUAAUACGGAGGGGGCAAGCGUUGCUCGGAUUUACUGGGCGUAAAGGGUCCGCAGGCGGUUGAGCAAGUUAGAUGUGGAAGCUCAAGGCUUAACCUUGGAAUUGCAUCUAAAACUGCUCGACUAGAGUCCA
rnacentral:rRNA from 1 species